rnacentral:rRNA from 1 species
AGCGGAGGAAAAGAAACUAACAAGGAUUCCCCUAGUAACGGCGAGUGAACCGGGAUGAGCUCAAAUUUGAAAUCUGGCGUCCUCAGGGCGUCCGAGUUGUAAUCUAUAGAGGCGUUUUCCGUGCCGGACCGUGUCCAAGUCCCUUGGAACAGGGUAUCAAAGAGGGUGACAAUCCCGUACUUGACACGACGACCGGUGCUCUGUGAUACGUCUUCUACGAGUCGAGUUGUUUGGGAAUGCAGCUCAAAAUGGGUGGUGAGUUCCAUCUAAAGCUAAAUAUUGGCGAGAGACCGAUAGCGAACAAGUACCGUGAGGGAAAGAUGAAAAGCACUUUGGAAAGAGAGUUAAACAGUACGUGAAAUUGUUGAAAGGGAAACGAUUGAAGUCAGUCGUGACUGUUGGGCUCAGCAGGUUCUGCCUGUGUAUUCCCCUCAGUCGGGUCAACAUCAGUUUUGACCGGUGGAUAAGGGCAGCAGGAAUGUGGCACCUCCGGGUGUGUUAUAGCCUGUCGUCGCAUACAUCGGUUGAGACUGAGGAACGCAGCUCGCCCUUGAGGCCGGGGUUCGCCCACGUCCGAGCUUAGGAUGUUGACAUAAUGGCUUUAAACGACCCGU